AAAAAAGACAUUUUUGGUAUCUUCGUACCAAAAUAGACAUUUUUUGGUCACGUCCCCUCACAUAAAGCAUAAUAUCAAGUGAUCAAAAAGUCAUAUCUACCCCAAAAUAGUACCAAUGAAAACAUCAACUCAUCCCGC